rnacentral:rRNA from 1 species
AUGAACGCUGGCGGCGUGCCUAAUACCUGCAAGUCGAGCGAACAGACGAGGAGCUUGCUCCUCUGACGUUAGCGGCGGACGGGUGAGUAACACGUGGAUAACCUACCUAUAAGACUGGGAUUACUUCGGGAAACCGGAGCUAAUACCGGAUAAUAUAUUGAACCGCAUGGUUCAAUAGUGAAAGACGGUUUUGCUGUCACUUAUAGAUGGAUCCGCGCCGCAUUAGCUAGUUGGUAAGGUAACGGCUUACCAAGGCAACGAUGCGUAGCCGACCUGAGAGGGUGAUCGGCCACACUGGAACUGAGACACGGUCCAGACUCCUACGGGAGGCAGCAGUAGGGAAUCUUCCGCAAUGGGCGAAAGCCUGACGGAGCAACGCCGCGUGAGUGAUGAAGGUCUUCGGAUCGUAAAACUCUGUUAUUAGGGAAGAACAAAUGUGUAAGUAACUAUGCACGUCUUGACGGUACCUAAUCAGAAAGCCACGGCUAACUACGUG